AGCUUGCUCCCUGAUGUUAGCGGCGGACGGGUGAGUAACACGUGGGUAACCUGCCUGUAAGACUGGGAUAACUCCGGGAAACCGGGGCUAAUACCGGAUGGUUGUUUGAACCGCAUGGUUCAAACAUAAAAGGUGGCUUCGGCUACCACUUACAGAUGGACCCGCGGCGCAUUAGCUAGUUGGUGAGGUAAUGGCUCACCAAGGCAACGAUGCGUAGCCGACCUGAGAGGGUGAUCGGCCACACUGGGACUGAGACACGGCCCAGACUCCUACGGGAGGCAGCAGUAGGGAAUCUUCCGCAAUGGACGAAAGUCUGACGGAGCAACGCCGCGUGAGUGAUGAAGGUUUUCGGAUCGUAAAGCUCUGUUGUUAGGGAAGAACAAGUACCGUUCGAAUAGGGCGGCACCUUGACGGUACCUAACCAGAAAGCCACGGCUAACUACGUGCCAGCAGCCGCGGUAAUACGUAGGUGGCAAGCGUUGUCCGGAAUUAUUGGGCGUAAAGGGCUCGCAGGCGGUUUCUUAAGUCUGAUGUGAAAGCCCCCGGCUCAACCGGGGAGGGUCAUUGGAAACUGGGGAACUUGAGUGCAGAAGAGGAGAGUGGAAUUCCACGUGUAGCGGUGAAAUGCGUAGAGAUGUGGAGGAACACCAGUGGCGAAGGCGACUCUCUGGUCUGUAACUGACGCUGAGGAGCGAAAGCGUGGGGAGCGAACAGGAUUAGAUACCCUGGUAGUCCACGCCGUAAACGAUGAGUGCUAAGUGUUAGGGGGGUUUCCGCCCCUUAGUGCUGCAGCUAACGCAUUUAAGCACUUCCGCCUGGGGAGUACGGUCGCAAAGACUGAAACUCAAAGGAAUUGAACGGGGGGCCCGCACAAGCGGUGGAGCUAUGUGGUUUUAAUUUCGAAAGCCAACGCGAAGAAACCUUUACCCAGGUCUUGACAUCCUUCUGACAAAUUCCUUAGAA
rnacentral:rRNA from 1 species